UCUGGGGGGAGGGAGCCCGCGAGCCGCCCCCUGUGUCUCUGCCCCGUGGGAAGAAGGAGCCGUUUGUCUUGAGCCCUGCCCUGCUCCUGCGCCUCAGUCAGUCACUGGAUGUGGGCCUGCACCGAAGGAUCCAGGGGUAAAGAUCUCCAGAAAAGCAGCAAGCCUUCCCCUAAGACUCCCAAGCAUCGCCCUUGCACCCGUUGGCGACGCGUAGAGGGUGCGCGCAGGUGCACGGGCACCCCUUGCGAAAAGGCACGCCGACACUGCUGAGAGGAUUUCGGUGGCGCCUGCGGGUGGUUGCAGACUGCCAUUCCCGUGGUCGCCAACACCGCCACGGCCGCCUGUAGGAGCUCGCCGUGCCAUAGCCUCCAGGGGCGUCCCCUGCUUAGCGCGCCGAAUCGGUUCCUGAAAAACUGAGCGUUAAGUGAAACGAGUGUUAAGCGAAACCGGAAGGAUUUGAUGACGUGAGAGGGCGACCGGGAGCGUUAUAACGAAACUGGCCGAGGGCGAAGUGGAACCAGUGACAGAAUUUGAGAGGAUACAAGCAAAGGAGGUUGGAAGAAGCUAUCACUGAAAGUUCAAAUUCUGCUCAGAAACUAAGAACAAUCCUUCAGAACAAGGAGUUCCUUUAAAGAUUACCUCAAAUACAUGAGACAUGAAGAUUAAAAAAGGGACUAUGCAGGUCUGUUGAAUGUACAACUCAUUCAUUUUCAUGUACUGUGAUUUUUUUUGAGAAAAUGACAAGUCUAGAUUUUAAAGGAAACUCUAGUCAUUGCUGUAUGUGCCAUAACAGGUUGCUUAACUAGGAAAAAACCCUCUGUACUUCAAGCUUCCGUCUUUGAGUUGCUGAGCUCUCAGAAAAAUAAAAUACCAGAUUUAUAACAAA